rnacentral:rRNA from 1 species
GAUGAACGCUGGCGGCAUGCCUUACACAUGCAAGUCGAACGGCAGCAUGGGUGCUUGCACCUGAUGGCGAGUGGCGAACGGGUGAGUAAUGCAUCGGAACGUACCCGGAAGUGGGGGAUAACGUAGCGAAAGUUACGCUAAUACCGCAUAUUCUGUGAGCAGGAAAGCGGGGGAUCGCAAGACCUCGCGCUUCCGGAGCGGCCGAUGUCGGAUUAGCUAGUUGGCGGGGUAAAGGCCCACCAAGGCAACGAUCCGUAGCGGGUCUGAGAGGAUGAUCCGCCACACUGGGACUGAGACACGGCCCAGACUCCUACGGGAGGCAGCAGUGGGGAAUUUUGGACAAUGGGCGCAAGCCUGAUCCAGCCAUGCCGCGUGGAUGAUGAAGGCCUUCGGGUCGUAAAGUCCUUUUCUGAGGGAAGAACUGCCGGGGAGGAAAUGCCCUUGGCUUGACGGUACCUCAGGAAUAAGCAACGGCUAACUCCGUGCCAGCACGG